rnacentral:rRNA from 1 species
UACGGGGGGGGGCAAGCGUUGUUCGGAAUUACUGGGCGUAAAGGGCUCGUAGGUGGCCAACUAAGUCGGACGUGAAAUCCCUCAGCUUAACCGGGGAACUGCGUCUGAUACUGGAUGGCUUGAGAUUGGGAGAGGGAUGCGGAAUUCCAGGUGUAGCGGUGAAAUGCGUAGAUAUCUGGAGGAACACCGGUGGCGAAGGCGGCAUCCUGGACCAACACUGACGCUGAGGAGCGAAAGCCAGGGGAGCAAACGGG